UACGGAGGGGGCUAGCGUUGUUCGGAAUUACUGGGCGUAAAGCGCACGUAGGCGGCUUUGUAAGUUAGAGGUGAAAGCCCAGGGCUCAACCCUGGAAUUGCCUUUAAGACUGCAUCGCUAGAAUUGUGGAGAGGUAAGUGGAAUUCCGAGUGUAGAGGUGAAAUGCGCAGAUAUCGGGAGGAACACCAAUGGCGAAGGCAGCUCGCUGGGACGGUACUGACGCUGAGACGCGAAAGCGUGGGGAGCAAACAGG
rnacentral:rRNA from 1 species